CCUUGCUGGGUUUGAUUCUCGUAGUGAGUUCAGCUCUGUUCUGGUGCUCUGCCUCAAGAUCCCACCUUCGUCGCCAAUGUUAAGUUUGGGUAUUGACGAGGCAGGAGACCAGGUUAGUGACAACAGCUCUUUAAUAUAGUGUGACCCAGCAAAACUCUGGAGAAAAACCUCUCCUUAUAUACACUUCAGCCUGAGGCUGCAUCCAAUCAGAGACGAGAUAUUUCCCGCCUAAAACUCCCGCCAAAACUUACAGUAAUACAUUACACUCACUACAUUGCAGAACCUCCUGGAGCAUCUCAAUCACCAAACCCCAGAAACCUAUAAAAAUCCAUCCAGUCACUCAGCCAUUUUAUCAGCCAUUCCAAAAACAUGCUGCUUUCAUUGAAGUUUCUGAAAACCAAAUAAACAGAGACCUUGUAGCCGGCUUCCAUUUUAUUUCCAGCGUUUUUCUCCUAGCUUGGAAUUGGACUUGAUUUUUCUUCCAACAGAAGGAAAAGGAGCAAAGCACUUUGAAAUCAUAAUUAUGAACUUAAAGGUUUAAUGAGAGGUGGACACAACAGACUGACCACGAAAAAGAGCUACUGAAAAGAUUUAGUUAAACCUUGUUUUCAAAUCAGUAUGUAACACAGACAUGCCAUUGUUUACAUGACAGGGUAUCACUGGCUCUGAAUCGACAACUAGUUGAUCUUAAGCUAUAUCUAGCUGGAACCAUAAGAUGAAAUAGCAAUAGCACUUAGACUUAUAUACCACUUCACAGUGCUUUACAGCCCUCUCUAAGUGAUUUACAGAGUCAGCAUAUUGCCCCCAACAAUCUGGGUCCUCAUUUUACUAACCUCUGAAGGAUGGAAUGCUGAGUCAUAGGCUUUUCUUAACACAGAAAGCUUCUAGCAUGUCUUGAGGCAUCUGUUAACAGCGAACCAAUGAGGCUUGCAGUGCAUUUUCAUAUUCAGUAUCCUCGUACCGAUUAUUCAUCUUCAUUCCAGGGGUGAAAUGCUACCGGUUCGGACUGGUUUGGCUGAACUGGUAGCGAUGGUGGUGGCGGUGGGUGGUUUGAUCCAGGAAGUAAUCUGUUUUUUACCCUCUGUGCAUGCGCAGAAGGGUUUGCGCAUGCACAGAUGGUCCGUGCAUGCAUGUGACACACAUGCGCGUGUGCACUUCCGAACCGGGUAAGGAAAGUAAAUAGAUUUCACCCCUAGUUCAUUCUCCCUUAUGACUUCUUUCUCCAGUCAACCAAGCAUUCUGCCAUUACUGAGCCUGGUGGGUUCUUUGUAGGGGCCCAUUCUUACUUAGACCUUUCUGUAAAACCAUAGCUAGUUUUUUUUUUAAUGUUUAGGAUUCCACUAAACUUGCCAAUGCAUCUCUUUAGUGCAUUAGUUAUGCACGACAAAAAUAAAUCAGCAGUUGGUUACCUAAUGACUUCUGUUUAAAGGGAUGGCACAACAGAAGAGUAAUUUCGAUCAGCUUACUUUAGCAGCCAAAUAUGUGGCCAAUGAUGGUAGGAGAAUAAAGAAAUGAUAUGGACCAGAUGUUAUUCCAACUUAAUUUGUAUGGCCAUAGAGGAAGCUAGGAGCAUAUACAUUUGGAUCAGGUGAUGCUAAUUUGCAGAAAUACCACCAUCUAAUUAAAAUUCAGCUUACGCUCUUUGCAAUGUCACACAUUUCUUGUGCUAACCAAUGGCAUUCUCCAUUGCCCAUCUUAUUGCUUACACCCAUAACCUGAAAGGCAUAGAAGGUGAAGGUAUUAAAUGUGAGAGAAGAAGUGUGGCAGUAUCUGCAUUCUGAGACUGUUUCCCGGAGCUAAAAUAUUUGCUGAAAUCUGGCCAUAGAACUUAGAAUGUCUGCCUGUUUCUCUUUACCAAUACUGACAGUUGAGAUGGCUCCUCCGCCAGGCCUUUCAUGCGUGCAAUUGUAAUAACCAGUUCCAAGAUUUUUGAUCUUUGUCCUUUUCUUCUGUGCAGACUAGCAUUUGGACAUUUUUUGUCUUCCUUGGCAAGUGCUUUGGUAUAGGUUUGUCUGCACCCCUUGUCUUCCAGUAAACAUCUCAUCUGCUUGGUCAUAUUUUAAAUCUUUUGGGGAACUUGGGAUGGGAAGGAGAAAAGAAGUCCUAUUGUCAUGAAAUAAUCUCAUCCAGUAGAUUGUUUAGUUGUACAUCCUGCUUGUUCUCUGCUCUUGCCGCCUCUCACCAGUUACAUAACAAAUUCUGUCCUUCACUUCUUGUAAAGAGCUUUGUAUGUCCACAGAGACACAGAUGGAGGACCAGAAUAUUCAACCAAAUAGUAAACAACAGCUGCAGGGGCUUUAGGGGUUCUCUUGUUGUCCAGGACAAGCAGGAAUGCUUUAGGACACAGGCUACAUCUCUUUCUCUCUACCUCGAUCAUCUCUAUCUCUCUGUCAUCUCUGUUGCCUGAUGUACUGAUAUAAAUAUAUAACUUUGCAUAUUGUCUGAUGUGCAGAAGAUUUGGGGAGGUUGGAGGUAGUUUGUGUCUUUUCAUUUUACGGUGAAACUUAGGCAACAUUAAAAGAAGCUACUCAUAUAUGUUGCAAUGAAAGAAAAAGAAUUGGUGCGUACAUCUGCUUAUCUGGUCCUGCCCACUGGCCUUUCUGAAUCUAUUUUUAAUCUAAGCGUGAUCAAGUAAACAGGCCUGACCUGUUUACUUGAUUACAGGAGGAGGACACUGCUUGGAACCCUUGGGUGGCACCUGACUUAGGAAAAGAACAAGGCAAGAAGCCAAGAAACACGGUGGGGCUGAGCCAGAUGAGAUGGGCUUCUUUAGAUUUUUUUAGACAUCUUAUUGAAGCUCCUGGGCAAGGCAGGGCCCCCAAAGGAUUUGGCGUAUCAAUAUGCUGACAGUAUCUGGCUGCACUUCUCCUUUUUUUCAUCUGAUUUGGAUGAGUUGGUUGAUAUGGUAAAUCCGCACCGCGCUUCGGUAAUGACCGAAUAUAAUCCAAUAAAUUGAAGUUCUAUGCAGAUGAGCCAUAGAUACGGUGGUUGAUUGGUGCAGAUAUGGGUUUCCUAUUUGCUUUGGGCUGCAUGUGCUGUAAAGGAAUACUGUAGAUCUGUGAACCUAGCUUUUGCUAGGUGCCUUAUAGGUGCUAUGGCUAAGAUUUUGGGAUAUUGUCUGUCUGUCAGUCACUCAGUCUCUUUCUCUGUCUCUCUCUCUCUCAUGUCCUUUAUCAUCUUUGGUCUAUCAUCCCAGCUAGUGAAGGCUUGCCAGAGGGAGUUCAUUUCUGGAACCUUCAGUUUAGAUUGCAAUAGGGAAUUAUAUGGGGAGCUGUUUUUGAAGACUAUUUGGAAACUAUGAUCAGGUCAUGAUGCAGCAGUCUGGUUGCUAACUAGGACUGGAUAUAAUGAGCAACAGAAAUUAGAUAUCUUUAUUCAAGCUAUCCAGGUCAGACUAAGACAUCAUUUAGUUAUGAAUGAAUUUUAAACUCCAUGGCUUCAUUUUUUUUAAAAAAGUAUUAAUGUAUGUUCAGGAUAGUUUAUGGCCAUAUGCUUUACAUAGGACGCAUAAAGCCCUGAAUGCAUGCUUAGUGUAAGCCUGCACAAAAUGUUUUAAACAAUGGACACUUUUAUAAAUAAAUCUUUCUAAUGCUGAAGCAAUCGCCUGCCUUCAUCCUGAUCCUUUUCAGUUACACAAAAUACUGCAUUUAACUUUUGUGGGAAGCCCUCCCCCCCAAGAAUAAAAUAUUUUGAGGAAUAUUUAAAAAGCCAGAAUAAUUAUAUUUCCCAAAGGGAAAAAUGGAGAAACAUGCUUUUUAGAGGCAGAAUCAACCCUCGCCUUUUCUUAAUAGCCCCAGCAGGUAUUUUGUACCCAUUAAGAAAGAUUGGACAAACCUAUUCAGAAACCAAACUGAGAAGGCCACCUUUUAGAAAUGCAGAUUUGGUAAUCCGUUCAAGACAGGAUAUUUUGAAACAAAGGCAGAAUGGUAGGAUUAACCCUCACUCAAGAUCCAACACAGGGCAAAACCAUUAAGCAACAAUAAAAUUGCCCAACACCCUCAGACCAGUCCAAACGUCAACCAAACUUAGCUCAGACAAACACCUAGGAUUUGUACCAGGGGUGAAAUCUAAAAAUUUUCCCUACUGGUUCUGUGGGCGUGGCUUAAUUGGUGGGUGUGGCUUGGUGGUCAGAUGACUGGGUGGGCAUGGCCAAUAACAAUAAAUAAUAAAAAUAAUAAACAAAGUAUAAAAACCAAUAAGAGGUAUCAAAACCCAACUUUCACACUUUACACACACACAACACAACACAACACAACUGACUCACACACAAUGUAAAAGCAGCUGCACUUCACACUUCACACAGCCACAAAAAGCUUAAAAAACAACUUUCACACACACACACACACACACACAAAAUGCCACAUACAGCUUUCUGAGAUUUUGUGUGUUUGUGUAGUUAGAGUGAAACACUACAGAAACACCCCAAAUCUCAGAAAGCUGCACAAAUAUUUUAUUUUAUUAUUUUAUUUUAUUUUAUUUUAUUGUGGACUUCAAAUCCCAGAGUUCCUUAGCCAGCAAAGCAGGAAGUCAAAGCAAGCUUUUUUUUUUCUUCAGAAAGCAUGCAGUUGCAGCCGGAAAGGAGCAGUAAUUAUAGCCUCCGUGUUUCCAGCAUCUUUCUCCCAGCUUGGAACUGAACCAGAUGGAUAUUCCUUCCAACACUUUCAAUUACUUAAAACUUUAAGCCUUUCAACAACAGGUUCCAAUUGGAUUUCCUCCAGAUGCAUUAAACUACAGUUCCUAUCAUCCCCAUUCAACUUUUGUUAUAUGGGGAGUGUAGUCAGUGGUGGGAUUCUACCGGUUCUACCCGGUUCGGGUGAAGUGGUAGCAGCGGCAACGGGAGGCUCCACCCACCCACUCAGACAUCAUCAUGGACACUCUGUGCAUGCAUAGAAGGCUCUGCGCAUGCUCACAUUUGCAAACCGGUAGCAAAGACCUAUAAAAUGCAGGUAAUUCGUUGACGUAUGACCACAAUUGAGCCCAAAAUUUCUGUUGCUGAGCGAGAUUGUUAAGUGAAUUUUGCCCAUUUUAAGACCUUCAUGCCAUAGUUGAUGAAAUGUUGCUGCUUCGUUCUUCACCCAAGCCACUGUCGGGCAGAUGCAAUAUAGACCUCUUCUGACAAGAGUGCAGGUUGACAGACAUUGCUGAAGAACCAGAAGGAUGUCUCCGAUGCUUUAAAAGAUAUACCAACAGCCAACAACUACAACCACAGAAAAAGAUGUGCAAGGUCUAUUUCACAGACAAAAGUCUGGAAAAGCACCAGGCCCAGAAAAGGAUGACAAUUUCUUACCUCCAGUUUUUCGUCAGAAAAUCUUCUUUAAUAGAAUUAUAUGCGAAGAAUAUUUGCAGAUAAGAAGGCAUGAGAGAGAUUGCUUUUUUCUGGGCCUUAUUACAUCCUAUUUAAAACAACUGUGGAAACUAUACUUCAGUUUGUGAAGAGGAACAAUGAAUUUCAGAGAUGAAGCUAAAAUUCUCAAGAAAAGUGUUCACAGGAUAUUCUUUUGAAUGAUGGGGUUUUAAAUGAAAUGCAUUAUUUUCUGUUUUGUGUAGUCUCAGAAUGGUUUCAGGAUAUAAUUGAGCUUUAAAUAUAAAACAUUUUGAUCAAGCAAACCCAGUCCCAUUAGAGGGGACUGGCUCCCCUUUGCUAAUGGAAAGCUUUUCUCUGCAGCAGCAAAAGGAAUUUUUAUUAACUUCCCUUUCAUAUUACAUCCCUUGUCCAAAUAUACUCCAGUCUCUCUCACUUUGCCUGCAAUACAUGCAGGUCAUAAU